CCCUUCCUACGGGGCGCAGCAGUGAGGAAUAUUGGUCAAUGGCCGGAAGGCUGAACCAGCCAAGCCGCGUGAAGGACGAAGGUGCCAAGCAUUAUAAACUUCUUUUGUCAAGGGACAAAAUCAGGCUCGAGAGCCUGACCGAGGGUACUUGAAGAAAAAGCAUCGGCUAACUCCGUGCCAGCAGCCGCGGUAAUACGUAGGGGGCAAGCGUUAUCCGGAUUUACUGGGUGUAAAGGGAGCGUAGACGGAGGAGCAAGUCUGAUGUGAAAAUCCGGGGCCCAACCCCGGAACUGCAUUGGAAACUG
rnacentral:rRNA from 1 species